rnacentral:misc_RNA from 1 species
AACAGGGGGCACCCAGCGCUUAUUGGCCAAAACAGUGAGCUUCACAGCAUCCACAAACUGCUCGACAGUGGGUGAAAUCAUGCACAUCCUCUCUGCACCAAUCCUCAUCCGUAAGGCGUUUUCCUCCGGACGAAAGAGUAGAAUUGAUCCAUCUUCUUUCCUGUAUGCUUUUAAGCCUUCGAACAAUCCCUGUCCAUAGUUUAGUACUCCAGAAGAUGGGUUCAGCUGGAUUGGUCCAAAACGCUGCAGUUCACCUUUGGAAAAUGUCCCGUUUUGAGGACAUUUCAUCAUGUACAUAUAAUCAGUCGGGACCAGUCCAAAUCCAAGAGAGUCCCAAUUUAUAUCAGCCAACUCAUAGGUCGCCUCUGCCUCCCUGCAAGUAGUUUCUUCAACAGCUUUACACCGUAUGCUUGAAGCCGCCAUAACAAGGGGAGGCGUGGGAUGAAACUGACUUUGAAUUUUGAGAAAUGUUGAUGGCGAGUGGAUCAUGGAUCUUGAGAAGGAGAUCGGGUGGAG